rnacentral:rRNA from 1 species
CCAGACUCCUACGGGAGGCAGCAGUGGGGGAUAUUGGACAAUGGGGGGAACCCUGAUCCAGCGACGCCGCGUGAGUGAAGAAGUAUCUCGGUAUGUAAAGCUCUAUCAGCAGGGAAGAAAGAAAUGACGGUACCUGAGUAAGAAGCCCCGGCUAACUACGUGCCAGCAGCCGCGGUAAUACGUAGGGGGCAAGCGUUAUCCGGAAUUACUGGGUGUAAAGGGAGCGUAGACGGUGAAGUAAGUCUGGAGUGAAAGGCGGGGGCCCAACCCCCGGACUGCUCUGGAAACUAUUUGACUGGAGUGCAGGAGAGGUAAGCGGAAUUCCUAGUGUAGCGGUGAAAUGCGUAGAUAUUAGGAGGAACACCAGUGGCGAAGGCAGCAUACCGGCGGCGAUCUGACGCUGAGGCACGAAAGCGUGGGUAUCGAACAGGAUUAGAUACCCGAGUAGUA